AGAUGGACAGACGGUCGCGGCUGCAGAGACGAAAGGCUGCAGGUGAGGAAAGUCCGGGCUUCACAGGGCAGGAUGCCGGAUAACGUCCGGUGGAGGCGACUCCCAGGCCAGUGCAACAGAAAUAUACCGCCGGCGAAAGCCGGUAAGGGUGCAAAGGCGGUGUAAGAGACCACCGCCCGUGCGGUAACGUGCGGGGCACAUGUAAACCCCAUCCGAAGCAAGACCGAACAGGACAGAUCGGCGGCCCGCCGGCUUCCGGGAGACCGGAGGCACUGUCCGGGUAGGUUGCUUGAGCCUGCCGGCAACGGCAGGACUAGACAGAUGACCGUUUGAUACAUAACCCGGCUUACAGUUCAUCUCCU
rnacentral:RNase_P_RNA from 1 species